CCAGGGUGUCCGUCGGCGUCACUCACCGUCCUCGGCCCGCCUCUGCGUCCACCAGGCGCGGCCUGAGAGAGGCCCGCACGCGGGCUCGAGCCGCGUGGAAUGGAUCUGGAAGAGCAGAGAAGAAACGGAGGUUGGCGGUUCCCAGGAGGAGAGAAGUGGAGAACUGGGCCAACGAGCAACCACCCCACAGCUGGCACCUACUGGGCGGCCCCCAGCUCUCUACAGAUGCGAAAGGUUUCUCAGUGGCAAGCCGACACUCCGGAUCCUCCUGGCUCCAUUCACUGCCAUUGUCCAUGUCUUCUGAGAGGUGUGAGGUGAGACUCACCUGACAGCUGAGAGCCUGGCCGGGAGAUCCACGCUGCAGAGGCCAAUGCUGGACUUCCCCUCCCUUCUUCAACCAGCAAAAUGCACCCAUGCCACAGUGCUCCUGCCUGCAGCCUGUCAGGCGUCGGCCCACCCUGCAACAUCCAGGAUGUCAUUUGAGCCCUGGUCACACGAAAGCACUGCAUGGGAUGAAGGUGUCCUUAUGAAGGAGGCAAAGGGAGUUCUGACACGGAGAAGAGGGGUCCAUGUGAAGAUGGAGGCUGAUAUUGGAGUGAUGCAGCCACACUCCAAGGAACACCCGGAGCCGCCAGAAGCCAGAAGAGGCAAGGAAAGACCCCCACCCAGAGCCGUCAGAGAGCACAGUACUGCCGACACCUUGAUUUCAGACUUCUGGCUUCCAGGACUGUGAGAGUAAAUUUCUGUUGUUUUAAACUGCCCAGUUUGUGGUAGUGUGUUAUAGCAGCCACAGAAACCAAUAGAGACUGGUC